rnacentral:lncRNA from 1 species
UAUACUAUUAUUACCUUUUCAAGAGAAAGAUCACCAGCUUCUAUUGCACGAAAAGGAUACAAAGCCACCACAACCUUUGCUCUUAAGAUGGAGUACCAGGAGUUCCACCCGGCAUUAUUGGAGUCGAAGGAGUACCUGUAACAAGAAUAAUAAUUUAUAAUUAAUAUACGUGUGCUUAGAAAGAAAAAUAAUCUUUAUUGGUGGAAGGAAAGUGUUAUUUUAAAAUAACAUAAUCAAAUGAAAUUAUCCAUAUUUAGAUGAUAAUCAUCAGUGAAGUAAAAACAUAUUCGAUACAUGACCACUGAUCAAAUAUGCAAAUACCAUAAUCAGAAUUAUUGAAGCCCUACAACAACAAAGUAUAGGAUACCUUGUCAGAAAACCUAUUCAAUAUAUUAGUUAUAAAUAACUUAAUAUCUUCAAAUUUUACAUAAUUUGUCUGUUUGAAAAAAGUUCAUUUGAUAAAAAUCUUGGUAGACUUUGAAUUAUUCUUGCUAACACAAAAUAAUCCAAAAAUGAUGAAAUAAUUACAUUUAUAGAAUUA